rnacentral:sRNA from 1 species
UCACAACCAAUUUUUGUGUUUUGAAGACUAUCUCGAUCAAACGAACGACGUGCAUCUAUUGAAUUGUAAUACAUUUCCUCAUUUGUAUUAUGGACAGAAAUGUGAGGGGGUGUUACAUCCUCUUCCCCUUGCAAUAUUUUCAGCUACCCUUCAAAUAUUGCUUUAAUCAAAAGAAAAUAUUUACUCUUGAACUAGUGCAUAUGAAGAAAGAUAGAAGAAAAGAAUGAGAAAAAUGAUGAUUUGGAAAAAGAAAAGAGGGAAAUAAAAUCCAUGUCCUAGCCAAGUACUCAUCACUCGUCUUUAUCUUCAUCUUCGUCGUAAUUGAAGGGUAGAGGCACAGACUUGAAAGCACGGUACUUGCCAACAUUGUUCAAAUGCUCAUUCUCCAAUCUGGAAAAGUUCCAUAUACCACGACGAAUGAUCUCUAGGCAUGCAACAAUGGUAGUCAUGGCUUGUUUAUGCAAGAAGCUGACGUUGAAUCUCAAGACUGUCUGCAACCAGGCAAAUCUCAACAAGACGUUAAGGACCUGCGCGGGUUCAAUUUGUUAGCAAUUUUCCAAUUUAAAAAGCAUAGAGAAACAACAACAUCAAUCAUACAUGCAAAAAAGGUUUGAUAAUUUCAAGCACUAUUGUUAUACCAUGGCUAUAAAAUAUACACUUUUAUGAGGGAUUGCGAGUUUGUCCCUCAACCAGCGAUUCUUGGAACGUCUUUGCAGAAGGCCCCAGUCUAUUACAAGGUCCCAAUAUGUAGAAGCAACUGCUGCAAAUAUUGAGAAAACCCAGGCCAACACUUUCCACACCAUUGAAUUGUUAUGACUAUACGCUAUCCUCAGGCAAACAGCAAUAAUUGUAAGGAAGUAUUUCAAUCCAUUAUAUCCUUGCAUUGGAUCUUUCUCUUCGAACAGCCUCCUAAGACACUGCAACAUAUUCAACAACAUUUAAUUCAAAACUUCAAAUUUUGUUCAUCCCAGUUUCACCCCAGUAUUUAUGAUGCCUAAAUAAGGAUAACAAGCAAAUGAAUAAAGUAAAAAGCAAUUUGGGGUGUCUAAAUUUUAGGUUUUCGGUAAGAUGACAUUAGUCGCUAGUCACUUGAAAGAAAGUUAAAAGAAAGGGUGUUUCAGCUCUGCUCAUAUCUGUUUUACCUCCAACAAAACACUGUUCUAAAAGUUGAAAAAAUUAAAAAGAAAAUAUGUAGUCACCUGCAGGAAACGGGACCAGUAGGGGAUAACAGCCACGAUGAAUGAAAAGGUGAUGAAUACGCUGCUAGAGUUGCAGGUGUUUUCUCUCUGUUUGAAAUUACCCCACCCGUAGUAGCAAAUGUAAAACUCAAAACUUCUCAAGGCUUGCACCUGAGUAAUCAAAAGGGUAUAAUUGUUAGACAUGGCAAAGAGCGUAAGAAAAGAAUAUUAAUCCAUGGUUUAAAGUUGGAAACAAACCUGGCUAGUAAAUUGAUCUGCCAAGAAAAAAUCCGGGAGUGUGACCUGAAAUACAUGGAAAACAACAAGUGUUAGACUACCCUAGAAAGUUAGGAAAUGCAAUGACCUUGUGUUUGCAAGGAUUUUCCUAUACCUUGUAAAGAGGUGCACAUAUACAGUGAAAUAGGCAUAUGAGGAGGAAAACCCUGCUUGAGCGAUAAAAGAUGUUUAUGGGGCACAAUAAAAUAGCAAUC